rnacentral:rRNA from 1 species
UACGGAGGGUGCGAGCGUUGUCCGGAAUCACUGGGCGUAAAGGGCGCGUAGGCGGCCCGUUAAGUGGCUGGUGAAAUCCCGCGGCUCAACUGCGGGGCUGCCGGGCAUACUGGCGAGCUAGAGCACGGUAGGGGCAGAUGGAAUUCCCGGUGUAGCGGUGGAAUGCGUAGAGAUCGGGAAGAAUACCAGUGGCGAAGGCGUUCUGCUGGGCCGUUGCUGACACUGAGGCGCGACAGCGUGGGGAGCAAACAGG